GGAGAGGUGUGUGAGCGGUUGAAACAGGCGGUCUUGAAAACCGCUGUACCUGAAAGGGUACCGGGGGUUCGAAUCCCUCCCUCUCCGCCA
rnacentral:tRNA from 1 species